AUUGAACGCUGGCGGCAUGCCUUACACAUGCAAGUCGAACGGUAACAGGUUAAGCUGACGAGUGGCGAACGGGUGAGUAAUGUAUCGGAACGUGCCCAGUCGUGGGGGAUAACUGCACGACAGAGCAGCUAAGACCGCAUACGACCUGAGGGUGAAAGCGGGGGAUCGCAAGACCUCGCGCGAUUGGAGCGGCCGAUAUCAGAUUAGGUAGUUGGUGAGGUAAAGGCUCACCAAGCCGACGAUCUGUAGCUGGUCUGAGAGGACGACCAGCCACACUGGGACUGAGACACGGCCCAGACUCCUACGGGAGGCAGCAGUGGGGAAUUUUGGACAAUGGGCGCAAGCCUGAUCCAGCCAUGCCGCGUGCGGGAAGAAGGCCUUCGGGUUGUAAACCGCUUUUGUCAGGGAAGAAAAGGUUCUGGCUAAUACCUGGGACUCAUGACGGUACCUGAAGAAUAAGCACCGGCUAACUACGUG
rnacentral:rRNA from 1 species